UAAUUCCCGGUAACUCCUGGAAUUGCCAACUAGGAUGCAGGCUAAGGAUUGAGUCCUACGUUGAUUUGGUUAUGACACCUAGGAAUGACCUCCAGUUCCUGGCUCUGUC
rnacentral:sRNA from 14 species